UGUGUAUGAUAACAUCUUGAUAAUGCUGCUAUCCAAGUAUGUGGUGAGGAAGCCAACCUUGCAGAAUGGAGUAUAUG
rfam:Erinaceus europaeus unplaced genomic scaffold scaffold00245, whole genome shotgun sequence